rnacentral:rRNA from 1 species
AUGUUCGUCCAGAAGACGCCGACGGCCGCCGGCUUCGAGGGCGUUCCCUUCAUCCCAUCGCUCCAGGCGGAGGAGCUCGUCAGGGCCAGGGCGGAGGAGGCGUCGUCGAUCGUCAAGGCUGGGUGCGGCUCCAAGAGGAAGGCGGAGGAGGAUGGCGACGAGGUCACCGUCAAGGCCAUGGCGGCGGCGGAGGAGGAGGCAGCUUUCACCACCCUCAAGGCCAAGGAGGAGGAGGAGGCGCCGGUCACCGUAAUGGCCCAGGAGGCGGUGCAGGUCAAGUUGGUGCUGACCAAGCCGACGUGGUCCGAUGUGGAGUACUCGGACUGCGACUCGGACGAAGAGGUCGACUCGGACGACGAAGAUGCCGAGACGUUCCUGGCCAGGAUCAGGGAUGAGUACAACGCCCACGCCGAGAAGCUCAAGGCUGACAAUCCCUGGUUGAAGUGGAGGGACUACUCGACCAACCCCAGGCAGGAGGAGGAGGCUGGCGCCGUGGUUGAUGGGCUUGGUUCCGUGUGA